rnacentral:sRNA from 1 species
CGGUGGCGAACUGGUCCGGGCUGAUGAAGUGGAUGUGGGAGUCGAUGCCGCCGGCGGUGAGGAUCCGCCCCUCCCCCGCCACGGCCUCCGUGGCCGGACCGAUGACGAUGUCGACGCCGUCCAUGAUGUUCGGGUUGCCGGCCUUGCCGAUGCCGAGGAUGCGGCCGUCGCGCAGCCCGACGUCCGCCCGGUAGAUGCCCGAGUGGUCCAGCACGAUGACGUUGGUGAUCACGGUGUCCGCCACGGGCGCCUCGCCCGGGCCGCCGUCGCGCACCG